rnacentral:rRNA from 1 species
GACAGAGGGUGCAAACGUUGUUCGGAAUUACUGGGCGUAAAGCGUGUGUAGGCGGCCUUAUAAGUCGGAUGUGAAAGCCCCGGGCUCAACCCGGGAAGUGCACUCGAUACUGUGAGGCUCGAGUAUCGGAGAGGUUGGUGGAAUUCUCGGUGUAGAGGUGAAAUUCGUAGAUAUCGAGAGGAACACCGGUGGCGAAAGCGGCCAACUGGACGAAUACUGACGCUGAGACACGAAAGCGUGGGGAGCAAACAGG